AAGUACUUUUAGGAUUUUUUUGAAUUUUGUACUAUACCUUGUCUUGGCAGCUUUAAACUUUUAUGCCAAUGGAUCAUACAAAUGGCUUUGUGAUGGCUAAGGCAUCUUUUAGCAAAUGCCUACAUGAAGUCGCUGACGCUCCUGAAUACCCCAGCUGUUUAAAAAAAAUGUGUUAAGUUCCCUUUGCAUUAAACACAAAAUCAUUAUAAAUAAAUAUGUGAUGCCAAUCUAAUAAUAACAUAGUGGAUGCUCAAUUUGGUGGUGCAUCUUAUGACUUGUACAUAUGGAACCAGUGCAAUAAGACCACUUGAGGAAAACCUGCCCAAUAGGGACCGCUGUUGGUUGUUAGGUGACCAAUGUUUGCAUGAUGACCCACAUCUUGGGAGCUGCUCCUAGAUCCCAUGAAGAUAUGCACAACAUUGCUGUGUCAGAAAUACGGUGGAGCCUUGUAGUUGGGUGCAUAUUGUAAAAUGUUUCCUCACUCCAAAACCAUGAACUCUGGUUUCCUAAACCCUCAAGCUAUGCAGCCGAAGGAGGAGACUUAUCACAGGAGAAUCACUAAUAAUUUUGAAGAAGUGAAGAGCUUAACAAUGUUUCAACCAACACCUAAAGAAGCUUUCACGGUGCCAAGCCAGUGAUGUUUUAAUUAAA
rnacentral:lncRNA from 1 species